rnacentral:tRNA from 1 species
UCCCAUAUGGUCUAGUGGUUAGGAUAUUUCGCUCUCACCGAAAUGGCCCGGGUUCGAUUCCCGGUGUGGGAA